rnacentral:rRNA from 1 species
GAUCAGCCGUACUCCGAAUGCCUUAGAUUAAGUUUGAUCAUGGCUCAGAGCGAACGCUGUAAGGUAGGCCUAACACAUGCAAGUCGAACGGCAGCACAGGAGAGCUUGCUCUCUGGGUGGCGAGUGGCGGACGGGUGAGGAAUACAUCGGAAUCUACUCUGUCGUGGGGGAUAACGUAGGGAAACUUACGCUAAUACCGCAUACGACCUACGGGUGAAAGCAGGGGAUCUUCGGACCUUGCGCGAUUGAAUGAGCCGAUGUCGGAUUAGCUAGUUGGCGGGGUAAAGGCCCACCAAGGCGACGAUCCGUAGCUGGUCUGAGAGGAUGAUCAGCCACACUGGAACUGAGACACGGUCCAGACUCCUACGGGAGGCAGCAGUGGGGAAUAUUGGACAAUGGGCGCAAGCCUGAUCCAGCCAUACCGCGUGGGUGAAGAAGGCCUUCGGGUUGUAAAGCUCUUAUAUGUNUGGGAAAGAAAUCCAGCUGGCUAAUACCUGGUUGGGAUGACGGUACCCAAAGAAUAAGCACCGGCUAACUUCGUGCCAGCAGACGCGGUAAUACGAAGGGUGCAAAGCGUUUACUCGGAAUUACUGGGCGUACACGCCGUGCGUAGGUGGAUCGAUUUAAAGUUCCGUUGUGAAAGCCCUGGGGCUCAAACCUGGGGCAACUUGCAGUGGAUACUGGGCGACUAGAGUGUGGNAGAGGGUUACGGCAUUCCUGGUGUACAAGUGAAUGCGUAGAGAAUCAGGAGGCACCUCCAUUGGAAGGCAGNNNACCUUGACCAACACUG